GCAAUCUGUCAACGGCGAGAUGAAAGGUCGGUUGGUCGCUGCAAGCCUGCAACAGAGGACCUUAUCGAAGCCUGGUCUGAGUAAUUCUUGGUCGCUGCAAGCCUGCAACAGAGAGGGGAGGGCGGAAGAGAUGAAAGGAAAUUAAGUAUGGAUCUGGCGGGCGUUGGAGUUUACAAGUCAAGUCUCUAAUAAAAGGUGUCAUCCGAGGUCAAAGGGUUUGGGUUAUGUAUUUUAUCUUGGAUAAGAUACAUGGCUUGAAACCUAGUUUGGUUAUGUCUUUUGUGAAGUCCAAUAUGGAACUUUAAGCUUUGGUAGUCAUGUGUUCUAAACUUAAAAUCUUAGUUUGAUGUUAAACAAUGACGGUUGUAUUAUUUUGAAAAUUUUCUAUGGAUGAACAUCUUGGUUUA